CCUGACUGWUAUCGGAUUGAUACUAAGCCAUGCGAGUCGUUGUASCAAUACAAGGCAGACGGCUCAGUAACACGUAGUCAACCUACCCUAUGGUCGGGGAUAAUCUCGGGAAACUGAGCAUAAUACCCGAUAGGUCAUAAUGCCUGGAAUGGUUUAUGGCCCAAAUGAUUUAUCGCCAUAGGAUGGGACUGCGGUCUAUCAGCUUGUUGGUGAGGUAAUGGCCCACCAAGGCAAUAACAGAUACGGGCUCUGAGAGGAGAAGCCCGGAGAUGGGUACUGAGACACGGACCCAGGCCCUAUGGGGCGCAGCAGGCGAGAAAACUUUGCAAUGUGCGAAAGCACGACAAGGUUGAUCCGAGUGUUUCCUGCUAAAGGAAUCUUUUGUCGAUCCUAAAAACACCGAUGAAUAAGGGGUGGGCAAGUUCUGGUGUCAGCCGCCGCGGUAAAACCAGCACCUCAAGUGGUCAGGAGGAUUAUUGGGCCUAAAGCAUCCGUAGCCGGCUGUGUUAGUCUCCGGUUAAAUCCAUAUGCUUAACAUAUGGGCUGCCGGAGAUACUGCACAGCUAGGGAGUGGGAGAGGUAGACGGUACUUGGUAGGAAGGGGUAAAAUCCUUUAAUCUACUGAUGACCACCUGUGGCGAAGGCGGUCUACUAGAACACGUCCGACGGUGAGGGAUGAAAGCUGGGGGAGCAAACCGGAUUASAUACCCGGGUAGUCCCAGCUGUAAACAAUGCAAACUCAGYGAUGCGCUGGCUUGUGGCCAGCGCAGUGCCGCAGGAAGCCGUUAAGUYUGCCGCCUGGGAAGUACGUACGCAGUAUGAAACUUAAGGAAUUGGCGKGGGAGCACCACAGGGUGAAKCCUGCGGUUC
rnacentral:rRNA from 1 species